GACGAACGCUGGCGGCGUGCUUAACACAUGCAAGUCGAACGGAAAGGCCCUGCUUUUGUGGGGUGCUCGAGUGGCGAACGGGUGAGUAACACGUGAGUAACCUGCCCUUGACUUUGGGAUAACUUCAGGAAACUGGGGCUAAUACCGGAUAGGAGCUCCUGCUGCAUGGUGGGGGUUGGAAAGUUUCGGCGGUGGGGGAUGGACUCGGGGCUUAUCAGCUUGUUGGUGGGGUAGUGGCUUACCAAGGCUUUGACGGGUAGCCGGCCUGAGAGGGUGACCGGCCCCAUUGGGCCUGAGAUACGGCCCAGACUCCUACGGGAGGCAGCAGUGGGGAAUAUUGCACAAUGGGCGGAAGCCUGAUGCAGCAACGCCGCGUGCGGGAUGACGGCCUUCGGGUUGUAAACCGCUUUCGCCUGUGACGAAGCGUGAGUGACGGUAAUGGGUAAAGAAGCACCGGCUAACUACGUG
rnacentral:rRNA from 1 species